UGGUUACACUUAUUUAAUCUAUUGUCAAACAUGACUUGAUCAUCACUUAAAUCAACAUUAACAUAAUAAUGCAUUAAGUGACAAACGUGUAUGUGCAGCAAUAAUGUUUAUUUAGUUUUCACCCUCAGUAAUCUGAUCGCUGCUGUCUGUUUCCUAGUAGAGACUAGCAGCGUGGGUUUUGUUUGGAACUAUUGGAGGCUCCAUGACCCACGUGACUGCUCUUACAGCGAAGUCAGCGGAUGUCGCAACUCUGAGUAUAUCGAGGGCUCUGGAAGAAUGGCUUGACUAUGACAUUAUUUCCGAUUGUUCUUCCACUUGGCUUUGUUUGUUGGUCAAAAAACUAACGUCGAGGUAGACGUUGGAGAUCUCGAGGAUCCGCUUCACUUGCUUUAAAAGACCAGCUCACUGGGGAGGGAAAGACGGGGCGGACGAAGGAUCGGAUAAAGGCUUAUUAUCAAGGGAAGCUUCAGGAGGGAGUAUUCCCUGCAGAUGUGCAGCAGCUGUUGGUGAUUACAAAGGGGUUUGUUGUAAACUGAGUCUGGACCUAGAGUCCCAUCUCCUAAAAGAGGAACCAGAGGAACUAUGGCCCAAACAGGAUGGAGAGUAGUUGAUGAUGGGAUGGUGGAGAGUGUUACCAGUUUACCGAUGAUGAUGGCUCCUGUGAAAAGUGAAGAUGAUGAUGAAGAUCCUCAGUCAUGCUCAUAUUCAGACCAUCUCCAUCAAACCAAAGCUGAAGGCAACACAGAGGUAGAGGCUCCAACCAACAACCCAGCUAAACGCAUUAAAUCAGAAUCUGAUGGAGAUGACUUUGGAGGACAAGAAAUAACCAGUAAUUCAGACCCAAACAUUUAUUUACAACCAAAAAGUGACAGAAAGGCUUCAAACUCUUCUGAGAUACAUUUGUCACAUUUUGGACCUGAAAUGGAAGAUGAUUAUAAAAGCUGGAAUGACAACAAGGCACAUGGAUCAGGUGUAAACAACGAUGUGGAGUCUAACACCGCCAAAAAAUCACUGAGCAGCUCUAAAUGUGGUGAAGAAUUUCA